UUUGUUGUGGGAAUUUACUUAGGAGUGAGAGAAGAUGGAUGAUUGAUGAGAGAGUAGAAUCGAUGGAGAGGUGCAGCGGAAACUUGGCAGAUGGUUUUUUAACCUUUUCCCUCUUCAAAAAUAAUUCGCGAUUCCACAUUCGCAUCUACCACUCUCUCUUUCUCUCUCCACAUUUACUUACAUACAAUAGCUGCACUAUAUCCCUCUCUCUCUCAACACAUAUCCCUCUCUCUGCAGGGCUGUCUGGCAAUACGAUGUGAUUGAACAUGGCUAAAGCCAGAGCCUGCCCUUUCUUUCCAUUGCACAUUUUUCAACAAUCUUUACCGCAUUUGUAAUUAUAUUCCUGUUCAUCAUCUCCCUCCUUUCACUCUCUCCCUUUCACUCAUUUCGGUGAAUCCAAGACUCCAACCUUUUGCCUAGUGUAGCACUUUCUCUUCUAGCUUGAUAUCCAACUUCCCCAUUUGUCACUUUAGGUGUAAAAAUAUCUCAUCUUGGAGGUCUAGAUAGACUGUAAUUCUAUCUAUGAGAAGUGGGCUAUGGUUGGUUCUUGCAAAAGAUAUGUUCUUGGAUUUCUGGUGAUGCUGCUGACCUUUGCUUCUGUGGAGUGUCAUGGUGAUGGUAUUGUUUUGCUGUAAGUAAAGAAGUCUUUUAGAGAUGUUGAUAAUGUGUUGUAUGACUGGACGGACUGACACUCCAUCUUCAGACUAUUGUGUUUGGAGAGGAAUCGGUUGUGAUAAUGCCACCUUCAAUGUGGUUUCACUAAAUCUUUCAGGCUUGAAUCUUGAUGGGGAAAUUUCACAUGCUAUAGGGCAGCUAAAGAGCCUGGUUUCUAUUGACUUGAGGGCGAAUCAACUCUCCGGCCAAAUCCCGGAUGAGAUUGGGGAUUGCUCUUCUUUAGAGAGCUUGGACCUAUCAUUCAAUAAGCUCUUUGGGGAUAUCCCCUUCUAAAUUUCAAAGCUUAAGCAACUAGAGACUUUGGUUCUGAAAAAUAAUCAGCUAAUUGGUCAUAUCCCUUCAACACUCUCGCAGAUUCCUAACUUGAAAAUUCUGGAUUUGGCUCAGAAUAGGUUCAGUGGAGAAAUACCAAGAUUGUUAUACUGGAAUGAAGUUCUUCAAUACCUGGGACUUAGAGGUAACAACCUCCAAGGUUCAUUAUCUCCAGAUAUGUGCCAGCUAACCGGACUGUGGUAUUUUGAUGUUAGAAAUAAUAGCUUGAGUGGUUCAAUUCCUGAAAACAUCGGCAACUGCAAUUCGUUCUAGGUUUUGGAUUUGUCGUACAACAAUUUCACGGGAUAAAUUCCAUUCAAUAUUGGAUUUCUUCAAGUUGCUACCUUGUCCUUGCAGAAUAACCAUUUCUCUG